AACAUUGUCUCAUGUAUAUGAGAUAAUACCUGCCCAGUGACAAAAUGUUCAGCGGUAUCCUAACCGUGCAAAGGUAGCAUAAUCACUUGCCUAUUAAUUGUAGGCUAGUAUGAAAGGGUUAACAAAUAAAGACUGUUCAAUUAAUCACCUAAAAACUAUUCCCUACUUGAAGAAAAGUAGAUAAGGACAAGAAGACCCUAUAGAGCUUAAUUAUUAUAGUAUAAAAAUAUUGGGGCGACCGGCUAAUAAAUCACCCCAUAAAAAAGAUACAUAAAUUAAAUGACCCUCAUAUCAAAGACCAAGCUACCUUAGGGAUAACAGGCUAAUCCCACUUAAGAGUCCUCAACAGUGGGGUUUGGCACCUCGAUGUUGGCUUAGGGUAUCUAUAGCGAAAAGU
rnacentral:rRNA from 1 species